AUUGAACGCUGGCGGCAUGCCUUACACAUGCAAGUCGAACGGCAGCACGGGUGCUUGCACCUGGUGGCGAGUGGCGAACGGGUGAGUAAUACAUCGGAACGUACCUUAUUGUGGGGGAUAACGCAGCGAAAGUUGCGCUAAUACCGCAUACGCCCUGAGGGGGAAAGCGGGGGACCGUAAGGCCUCGCGCGAUUAGAGCGGCCGAUGUCUGAUUAGCUUGUUGGUGAGGUAAAAGCUCACCAAGGCGAUGAUCAGUAGCUGGUCUGAGAGGACGAUCAGCCACACUGGGACUGAGACACGGCCCAGACUCCUACGGGAGGCAGCAGUGGGGAAUUUUGGACAAUGGGGGCAACCCUGAUCCAGCAAUGCCGCGUGAGUGAAGAAGGCCUUCGGGUUGUAAAGCUCUUUUGUCAGGGAAGAAACAGCAGCUCUAACACAGUCUGCGAAUGACGGUACCUGAAGAAUAAGCACCGGCUAACUACGUGCCAGCAGCCGCCGCCG
rnacentral:rRNA from 1 species